GAACCGUGAUAUUCGGUGUGAAUUGCAAAUUAAAUGGAUCACUAGUUUUUCGAAUGCUAGCAUGCCAAUGUGCAUUUUUGUGACUGUCAGACAAAUUUUUAAAAACCAUCUCUUUUUUGAGGCGGAACAAUUUUUAAAAUUUUUUGCUGACGUCAUAGAAGUGUGAGUACCCGCUGAACUUAAGC
rnacentral:misc_RNA from 1 species